GUUGCGGCCUCCAUGGUGUGGCUAAUGAAUCGCAUAGCUUAGUAUUUGCUUCUGCAAGUUUGUGCAGCAGUCCACAGUUGUCGAGGAAGGAGGAAGGUGCAGCAUUAAGGUCAGUCCCGUUAAAAUGUGUCUGUGUCCUUGUCAUGCAGCCCAGUUUUCUGGAUCCUUGGGUUGCAUCUAUGGAUAAUAAUCCCAGCUGCUGUGUGUUUGCACUUCACGUUUUCUCAGAAACUGGAGAACAAG
rnacentral:lncRNA from 1 species